rnacentral:lncRNA from 1 species
UCCAAAUGGGUGCCUACUCCAUUUCUAGAGACUGCUCAAGAGUUAUGCCUAAUCAACCAUACUCAAUGUCACGCCCCGAUCCUCCGAGUGCACGAACAUCCCACUCUGGUCGAUACAAAUGCGACUUCCCAGGACACGUCGCGGACCCAUUCAUUUUUAUAUUGCACAUGCGGAAGCAAAACAAAUCCCCUGACAACAUUUAACUUGGGAUAGAAAAGCAGGCAAUCAAUCACAACCGAACAAGCUUUCUAUAAACACAUAGGUUUAUAUACAACAUUGGAUUGUCUACAAAAUAGACAGGCUCAACAACUAGGGAAUUGUCCUAUGACCAACUUGUCAAACACGUUCGCCGCUUCUUCAGCCUCCACCUUCCGAACUCCAGGACUUCCGGUCCUCCACGACUGUCAUCUAGGGACCUGAAAUAUUAUCCCACAACCGGGAUGAGACUACGUCUCAGCGAGUCCUACCCUCUAAAACUCAAUUAGGAAGAAAAUACGCCUCAGGGCGCUCUAGCCACACAAAUGGGAUAGAGGACUUACCUCGCCUCAAUUCCUUCAUGCACAUCAGUUUAAUCAAUAAAUAUUGACAAGCACAUCAUCCAAACAAUUCAAUUACUUGGAUCGAUUCAGCGAUCAAUCGACUUAGUCGAUUACAUGUCUUCGAAAUCAUCACACGGUCAUUCUAACUAUUCAUUCUCGACUUUCAAUCAUGGCCUUACAGGCAAGUCUAUAUGUAGUGGUAUUACGGCCCCACUCGGUAAUGUUAUAUGUAGUGGCAUUACGGCCCCACUCGGCAAUGUUUAGAUUUGAUGGCUUUCUAGGAUCAACUCACAACCUCUCACGGUCAUUUUACCAUAAAAAACCAACACUAAUCAACUUUGGGAUAAACCCCCACAUAAACAUACAUUCAAUCAAUCGAUACAAACUGGACCUACCAACCAAUUAUGGUGCCAAAAGCCAAACACGGGGUAUUUCAAGUUAAAUACCAAAACUUCAUCAAUAUCACUCAAUUCCACACUUUUGGAAUAAUUAACCAUAACCAUCAAUCACUCAAUUUCUCAGUUUAAGCUUACAAUUAACACAAACCGACCGCACUGCUGCGAUUAGCGCGAAAUUCUAACGACCGGCCAUCCCGACAAAAUUUUCGAAAUUAUUAAAUAAUUGAAUUUAAUUCCGAAAAUGAAAUAAUUAAAUAUUAUAUUAUAAUAAUAUAAUUUAAUAAAAUAAUAUUUAUAAAUUCGAAAUAAUUAAUUAGGGCUUAAACAAGAUUACACUAAUUUAAUCAUACAAUUAGCCCUAAUUAAACAUCCAUUAAGCUAAUCAUACAACUAAUCUAAUUUACAUUAAAAUAAUCUAAUCUAUCCACCUAAACCUAAUUAGACUAAUCUAAACACCCCAUUAAGCGUCAUUAACUCACUAAGCAAGAAUUAGAGGAUAAACUCACCGGUUUUGUGUGCCGGUGAGUUCACGGCGACCACGACACCAAGGCGGUCGAUAAACCCCAAAGCGGCGACACCAACGGAGGCCGGGAAGGGCUUGAAAACGGGCCACGAAGUCUCCAAAACCUUGCUGUCUUCUGCUUCUGAUCUGGACUGAACUGCAGAGAAGAAACCAGCAACUUCAACGGCGAAAACGGGCUGAUCGGAGCUCCGGCGAGCGGGUGGUUGGCAACCGGAGGCUCCCAAGGGUCAAAGGGAUCUUGCUGGAGGUUGGUAUGGGUGGAGGUAGGGUAGAAAUGGGGAGAAAAUGGCUGAAAACCGCGAAACGGGCGAAACAGGCGGAACCAGGCGAGUCCAGACGGUCCGGCGAGCGGCGACUUCGGGCGGCCGUACGGGACGACCAGAGAAUCGUUCCGGAGAACGACGAGGUGCUACGGAACGGGCUGGAUGUCUUCUUCGCGGAGAUGGGUGGCUCGUUUUCUGAUUCAACCGGGAAGUUAACUUUUUACUCUGAUCUUUGGCGAAAGGUCGGCUGGAGCAGAAACUGGAACGAGGGGAAAACAAGGGGAAAAAGAGGUCCGGCGGGCAAGCGACGGUCUUGGGUGGCUGAGGGCUGAUCUCCUCUGGUUCUUUGAAGUUCAAGAUGGACAACAAAAAUGGAGAAAGCCUUGAAUUAAGGGAGAAGAAGCUGCUGAAGAGUGGGGGGUCU